UCCCUUGUGUCUCAGCUGGUAAAGAAUCCGCCUGCAGUGUGGGAGACCUAGGUUCAAUCCCUGGGUUGGGAA
rnacentral:tRNA from 1 species